GUGCGGCUGGAUCACCUCCUUUCUAAGGAGCACCACGAAAAGCACUCCAAUUGGUGGGGUGCGAGCCGUGAGGGGUCCUCGCCUGUAGUGGGCGCGGGCCGGGUGCACAACAGCAAAUGAUUGCCAGACACACUAUUGGGCCCUGAGACAACACUCGGCCAGUCCGUGUGGUGUCCCUCCAUCUUGGUGGUGGGGUGUGGUGUUUGAGUAUUGGAUAGUGGUUGCGAGCAU
rnacentral:misc_RNA from 1 species